rnacentral:rRNA from 1 species
ACACGGGGGGCGCAAGCGUUAUUCGGAAUUAUUGGGCGUAAAGGGCGCGUAGGCGGUCUUGUCGGUCAGAUGUGAAAGCCCAGGGCUCAACCCUGGACGUGCAUUUGAAACAGCAAGACUUGAGUACGCGAGAGGAAAGCGGAAUUCCUGGUGUAGAGGUGAAAUUCGUAGAUAUCAGGAGGAACACCGAUGGCGAAGGCAGCUUUCUGGACCGAUACUGACGCUGAGGCGCGAAGGCGUGGGUAGCGAACAGGAUUAGAAACCCCAGUAGUCC